rnacentral:rRNA from 1 species
AUUGAACGCUGGCGGCAGGCCUAACACAUGCAAGUCGAGCGGAUGAAGGGAGCUUGCUCCUGGAUUCAGCGGCGGACGGGUGAGUAAUUCCUAGGAAUCUGCCUGGUAGUGGGGGAUAACGUCCGGAAACGGGCGCUAAUACCGCAUACGUCCUGAGGGAGAAAGAGGGGGAUCUUCGGACCUCACGCUAUCAGAUGAGCCUAGGUCGGAUUAGCUAGUUGGUGGGGUAAAGGCCUACCAAGGCGACGAUCCGUAACUGGUCUGAGAGGAUGAUCAGUCACACUGGAACUGAGACACGGUCCAGACUCCUACGGGAGGCAGCAGUGGGGAAUAUUGGACAAUGGGCGAAAGCCUGAUCCAGCCAUGCCGCGUGUGUGAAGAAGGUCUUCGGAUUGUAAAGCACUUUAAGUUGGGAGGAAGGGCAGUAAGUUAAUACCUUGCUGUUUUGACGUUACCAACAGAAUAAGCACCGGCUAACUUCGUG